UCAUAACAUACGCUGACAGGUGUGGCACAUUUGUGCCUGGGAAGAGGGUGAAAAUCCCUCGCAGCCCCCGCUGCUGUAAUGCUGACAAACCCGAAAAUGCCACUGAUCGCGAGAUUGGGAAGGUCGGGUGAGGAUGACGCUAAGCCAGAAGACCAGUCUGUCAGUCAAUACCAACA
rnacentral:ncRNA from 1 species